rnacentral:rRNA from 1 species
UACGAAGGCGUCAAGCGUUAUCCGGAUUUAUUGGGCGUAAAGAGCGAGUAGGUGGUUUGGUGCGUCUGUUGUUAAAUGUCUCCGCUCAACGGGGUCACCGCAAUGGAUACGGCCGAACUAGAGGGUGCUAGAGGCAACUGGAACGCACGGUGUAGGGGUGAAAUCCGUUGAUAUCGUGCGGAACACCAAAGGCGAAGGCAUGUUGCUGGGGCACUCCUGACACUCAAUCGCGAAAGCGUGGGGAGCAAAAAGG